ensembl:rRNA 5S_rRNA 5S ribosomal RNA
CCUCAGUGCCAUAGCAGCCUAAGGGCGCCCCAGCCCUGAAGCUAAGCAGGGUCGUAUCUGGCUGUGGCUUGGAUGGGGGACCAUCUGAGGAGACCAGGGAUGGAGGC